CUCCUCUCAUCCGCCUGUCAAGCCCAAGCAGCAGCAGCCAACGCAGAGGGACAGCUUCCCAGAGCUGUAACCUACCUGUGUUCGGGCACCCUAUCCACUUUAACUCAUGCUGUGUAUAGUAAAAGCUCGGAACAGAAUCGGUCCGAGAUGAAUCGCAGCCUGAGGACCAGGAGAUGAUCCCGGAGGCUGUUCCGUGAUGCUGGACUCAGGUGAUCCACAGGCCUUGGCAGACCGACUCAACAGGCUGGUCGCCCGUGUGUCGGCCUUUUGUGGGACCGGGCGCGACGGAAACAUGUUCACAUAAUUGAUCGGGGAAACGGCAAGCUCUUUGUCCAACAGGUGAAUAGCAUGACCGUGGAAACGGGCGAACUAGGUGGAAAAAGUCUGGUCUUCUGUGAGUCCGAUUUCACGGUGCUUUUACGCUAAACGUGGAGCCAGUGAGGGAACAGCCUUGGCCUGUGUACGCUGCAGCUGUAUUCGCCCAGAGAGGCAGACAUCAAAGCCUGAACAACAAACAGCGUCUCGGCCGUAGCCGAAUAAAGGAGCGGAAAAAACGACCGGACGUCGCAGUGUUUCCACCGAACCCGGACUCACUCAGCCUUUGUGCGCACUUGUGCACAUGCGCGCGUGUGUGUGUGUGUGUGUGUGUGUGUGUGUGUGUGUGCCAGGUUGUGUUCUCCUAGCAGCUAAUGACAGACAGGGGGGGCUGGAGGUAGUGGGGGGAAUGGGAGGAGGGACUUUGUGAUCGCUGGCAAGUGAUGCACCAAAACUGGCUGCGGUGGCUUUUCUGUGUGUGUGUGUGUUUGUUUGUGUGUGUGUCUAUGUGCUAUGUGUCUGCCUCCACAAUAUGGUUCUCUCAAGAUCUCCUCUACCCGUACCCCCCCCACACACACUUCUUUGACGGUAGCCAUUGUUAUUCUGCUCCCAGAGAUGACGCAAUUGAACACACACGCACGCACGCACACGCACACGCACACACACAGAUCACCGGAUUCAUGCUGUCAUGUGAUUAUUAUCAUCUCUGCUUUCCUUGGUAACGGACGAAAAAUUAAAAACCACAAAAAUCACACUUUUACCUCGUUCCUCUAUUGUCGCUAGGAACAUGCCCCUAGCCGCGUGGCCACCGCCUUGAAAGAUCCAUGAAGGUUGCCUUUAAUGGCACAUGAGACAAACAACCCUGCAUCCUUUUAACACAUGCUAGGAUGAUACCAGCGCGACAAUAAAAAUAAAUAAACAACGAUAACUCAAUGUCAGCUCGUUGACGCUGGGUCAAACUCCAUUUCAGAAAUAGUGCGUUGUCACAAUGGUAAUAAGAGAGAGAGACACUCCACUUUAUAGAUGAACCUAUUGGAUUUGUUCUUUAUUCUGCCCUUUAUUCUGGUCUGGGAGUACUCUAAAGCUAUUGGUGGACUAAUCAAACCAGUCCUCCACACAUUUGCCCACUGAUACAAUUCUGGACAAAUAAAAUAAAUAAAUAAAAUAUCAUUCAGAAGUGACAAAAAGGGCGAAAAUGCAAAAUCCUGUUGGCAAGAAAGGCACCACUUGCGCUAACGAGCUAAAGUCCUCUUCAGCCCAGAGAGUUGAUUUGAUUUAUAAGACUCACGAAUUUGAGUUAAAAGCAGGAUGAUUGGCUUUAAAUUGCAGCAAAAGUUGUAAAUGUACUCAAAUAAAAUUAGGUACUUAAGAUAUGAAAUACUUAAGUUAUGAAAUGAUUGUAAAUGUUGUGCCUGUUGAACUCCCAGGUACUACUUUGUUAACUACUUGUGUAUAGGGCUCGUAAGUCCCGCCCCUUCCGGUAGACCCCAUGGGACCAAUGCGAUCGUGAACUACAGCUCUGGCUGCUCUCGACGCGAGUGAUAUAUGUCACCACCACUCUGGUACAGACAUGGCGAUCUCUCUGCUCCACUAUACCGUUUUUUUCCAAGGGGAGGAUAACAGCAUCGGAGGUGAAAACUAUUAUAAGUUGGGGCAUGUGGAGCGUUACGUCACAUACGAGAUGUAGUCUUUCUCAUUGUGUUUUGUCUACAGCCUUUAACUGAACAAUUGCACAAUAAACUGUCAAACUCUUGACAAGAAAAAAUAUCAUUUAAAUCCACAAACAAUAAUGUGUAAUCCGGGGUCUAUAAAGACUGGGACCAGAUAAUAAUUAUUUCUCUGCAUUGAAACCCAUUCAUACUUUACGAUCAUAGGGACCACCGGAAGGGGCGGGACUAACGAGCUCUAUUUGGCCAAUGGAAUGUUUUACGUCCUGGCACUUAAAGGUGGGGUAUGGGAUUUGCGAAACGCGAGCAGAUUUUGAAAACACACAACUCAAAUGGUCCUACCCCUCCUCCUUCAACGCUGAUUCCGACUCCACCCAUUCCAAGUAAAUGGACGCGCAAUCAUGCACAAGCGAACACAGAUGCGCGAGAGCGAGCCAUUAGCUAGUUAGCUUGCUCCAGUAGCUACCGCAGGAUAACAACAGAAGCUUGCUCUGGGUCACGAGCUUUGAGUUCGUGCUGGAAGGGGUCGCGCGGGGAGCGGGGAAGGGGGAGUGCAGUACGACCGUUUGAUUGACGUAUUUACUGUCCAAUGCCACUCGGUGGGUCUGGAAAUGAUUGGCUGGUGUUUUUCGAGCCCUGCCCGUUCCACAGAUGAUGAUAUUCAUGCCAGUACUUCUAACUCAGUGGCUGUAAGUGGGUUAUGAUAAGGAUUUCAAGUAAUUUUGCAAAACUUGCCAAAAAAGAGAAUUCCAUACCCAACCUUUAAUGUACGCACUUAAUGUAUGUUGUACGUCCUGGCACUUCAUGUACGCACUCAUUGUAUCUUGUACGUCCUGGCACUUAAUGUACGCACUUAUUGUGUGUUUUACGUCCUGCCACUCCAAUGGCACUGGCACUACACAUUUUUGGAUACAGGGAAUGGGUUAAUCUAGCUGUUAAUGCUCGUUGAGAGCACUAACAACCUCUGCAUCCCAGCACCUCAGAGAGGUCUGCUAAAUGCCCUUAAUCUAAAUGGGCUGUUUUUAAUAAGCUCUAUGUAGUUCUAGUCCAUUCAGGGCAGGAUAACUGCUAUUGCAACACAUUGAACUCGUGGC
ensembl:lncRNA